rnacentral:rRNA from 1 species
GACGAACGCUGGCGGCGUGCUUAACACAUGCAAGUCGAACGGAAAGGCGCGGCGUUUGUGGGGUUCUCGAGUGGCGCGGGGGGGAGUAACACGUGAGGAACCUGUCCUUGACUGUGGGAUAACUUCAGGAAACUGGGGCUAAUACCGGAGAUGAUCUCUUGCUGCGUGUGGGGGGUUGGAAAGUGUCGGCUGUUGGGGCUGGACUCGCGGGUUAUGAGCUUGUUGGGGGGGUAGGGGCGGUCAAAGGUUUUGACGGGUAGCCUGCCUGGGAGGGUGACCGGCCACCUUGGGCCUGCGAUACGGCCCAGAAUCCUACGUGCGGCAGCAGUGGGGAAUAUUGCACAACGGGCGGACGCGUGAUGCAGCAACCCCGCGUGCGGGAUGACGUCCUUCGAGUUGUAAACCGCUUUCGCAUGUGCCGAAGACUGAGUGACGGUACUGGGUCAAGAAGCACCGGCUAACUACGUG